GCACUUCAGCAGCACAUAUACCAAUAUUGGACCAAUAUAGCCAAGAUUAGCAUGGCUCCUGAGCCAAGAGGACAUGCAAAUUCCUCAUGAAGGUACCAUAUUA